UACGAAGGGUGCAAGCGUUACUCGGAAUUACUGGGCGUAAAGCGUGCGUAGGCGGUUUGUUAAGUCUGUCGUGAAAGCCCUGGGCUCAACCUGGGAAUUGCGAUGGAGACUGCAAGGCUUGAAUCUGGCAGAGGGGGGGUAGAAUUCCACGUGUAGCAGUGAAAUGCGUAGAGAUGUGGAGGAACACCGAUGGCGAAGGCAGCCCCCCUGGGUCAAGAUUGACGCUCAUGCACGAAAGCGUGGGGAGCAAACAGG
rnacentral:rRNA from 1 species